AUUUGUUGUAGUCUAGUUGGUUAGGAUAUUUGGUUCCCAUCCAAAAAGACCUGGGUUCAAGUCCCAGCCAUAAGUAAUAAAUGAUCG
rnacentral:tRNA from 1 species